GAUGAAGUUAAUCUACCAACAGUGAGAGGUCAAAGUCAACGGCCUGAUGUCUAUACAUGCUGUGCAAAGAUGUGACUGCUAUUACAUGUUCCAAAGGGCACUGGCAACCCAAUCCUUGUAGGAAAAACUGUCUCGUUUCAUGUACGUCUCCAAACAGGACGUGAGUUCGCUAAGUCCAUAAGCCCGGAGGCUAGAACACCGACCAAAGUGCUGCGGUUCACCUGCAUCUGGCACGGCAGCUGGCACAGGCACAGGUACGGGCCACCCAGGGUCUGGUGGCGCGGGUGUGGCACAUCUGGAUAUGGGGAAAAGGAGGAAGAGAGGGGCGCACGCACACACACACACACACACACACACACACACACACACACACACACAAAUUCAAACGUAAAGACAGAGAUGCAAAACGGCUCCAUCCCGUUGAUUGGUCAGGUGGGCUCAUCUCUUAAUGCACUCACAGGCCGAUUCCCUGGCAGCGGAUCAGGCAGACAAGUCACUGACCUGGAACUAACCCACGCGACACACAGGGUCAAGGUGUGACCCUUUGAUGCUCCGGUGUGGCGCAUUAAUGCAGGUACUGGCAGUGCUACCUGAAGAGGAUGUACAGGAGAGAGAGUGGAAUAAUCCCAGCAUGAUGUUUCCCUUGUGCGCAUCUAUGUGAGUCUCUUGUGUGUGUGUGUGUGUGUGUGUGUGUGUGUGUCACCAGAGUGCAGGAGGAUUGUGGGGGUGGCGAGGGAGGAGGAAAAGGUCUGCCAAGCAUAAAGGACAAGGCGGUAAAGAGGAGCAGACAAGAAGAUAAGGAGAUUGGGACACAGACAGGGAGCCGGGAGCCAGGCCGCGUUAAAGGUAGUCGGAAAAGAAGCCGAUGUACUCCAGGCGGGCGGAGGAGAGGAGGCUGCCCAGUUCUCGCCUCCAUCUGCGGCGUUAAGUAAGAGCUCGAGGAGGCAGCGGAGAGCAUGUGUGCAAGGGAGAGUAAGCCGGGGCAUCUGGUUUUGUUAAGGCCUCAGAACAUUCCUUCCCUCUGUUCGACUCUGGCUGGCAGCUUUUAAAGGGACACGUCCGCUCUCAUAUCCUGCUCGGGGCAUCGCCUUCUCUCUUGAAGUUCGAUUUAUGACCGCUGAGGGUCACGGGCAAGAUGUCUGCCUGUCCGAUUAUAUGAGGGCUCUUGUGCAUGACACUCAGCCGAGAGACGCUGCGUGUCUUUUAUGAAACAGAGGAGGAAAAGCAGAAGGACGUUGAUGACAGCAGGCUUCAGCCAGUUGAUCAGCUGAUUUAUUUCCCAUUUGAGUGUCAUCAUUUGGGUAUUUUUUUUUCUGACUGUUUAUGAAGCACACAAAUAAAAAAAGACAUAAAAGAGGAUGCCUGCUACCCACUGUCACCAGUAGCAGUUAGGAUUUCUCUGAUCUGAACUGCUUUGUCCAUGUUUUUACGUUAAAAGGAUAAAUCCACGCAAAAAUGAAAAUAACAUCAAUCCUCUCACCGCCAUGCUCAAAGAAAGUGAGGCUUCGUAGUCCGCAAGACAUUUUUUGAGCUUCACAGCAAAACAGAGCUGCAGCAUUCUCGUAGAGGACGGAAGCAGAUGGGUAUCAAAAUGUUAAACGACACCUGAUAAAAAAUAAAUAAAUAAAAUGGCUUGUUUGGUGUAACCCAAGUUUCUGAAAGCACUGACAUCACCAAAUUGAACUGAAAAGAUGUUUUUACAGCAUUUCAAGCUGAAACUUGAGUUGUGGCGGCCAAGCUAAAAGUGUUAGCAUCCAGCCUGUCCACGUGUAGAGGGUGUGAGGGAUAUUGGGGCUUUAGUUCACCUGGAUUACGCCAAGUGUAGACAUUUUAUGGUAUUUUUCCAGCUGUUUUAAAACAAGUCCCCAUCUGCUUCAGUUGUUCAGGAGAAUGCUGCAACACCGUUUUGCUACCAAACUUCACUCGACUUUCAGUUGGCAUGGAGGUGAGUAGAUUAUGACUUAAUUUAUCCUUUAUGGUUCACUGGAAGUUUUCGUAUAGCCAAAAAUCCUUUCCAGGUGUUUGUCUUUCCUUCCAAUUUUAACAAGGAGCUGCAUUUCUAAAAUGAGGAAAAGAAAAGGGCUUGGAUUUGACUGCUGAUGCUGAACUAAAAUGUGUGUUUUUUUUUUCUCUUUCUUAAGGAUGAUGCAAGCCAGGUGAAACUGUGCACCGACACUGUGCAACGACAUCAUAAUAACAUGUCAUUAAAUACAAAUGCUAAACUGCACAGCUAUCAUGAAAACUAACCCAAAAUGACAGAGUCUGCAGUCCCCAUGAUGCAAUGCUUUUGUUACAUGAUACAGCAAGUGUCAUGGUAUGAAUCUCAACGCAUGAACGUGCCGCAUAAGUAACAGGAUUUUUGUGCAGAGAGGCUGGAUGCGUUUGGUCAUUAUCGUUGUGUGC